CUGAGAAGUGAGCAAUUGAAAAACAAAAGCAAGAGAAAGGCAAAAGAAAAGAAAAGAAAAAAAAAACAAAAAGAAAAGAAAAAGCUCACUGAAGGGAAAGUUGGGAAAAAGAAAGAGAGUUUGUUCUUGAAUGAUAAAUUCAAAAAUGUUUCUCUUGACUCAAGGAACUUUGUUGUCCAGAAAAACCAAUUUCCUUCUCAGCCCAGCCAAGUUACAAGCCAUGAAAAGCC
rnacentral:lncRNA from 1 species